CUUCCGGUAUUCGUUCAAAGCAAGUCAUACAUGUUGCGGUCUUCUGUAGUCAUUUCUGUUGCCAUCCUACACAAAGCGACUAAGAAACAAAGCUGUGCAGCACGGUGGAAAAAGAAGAUCCUGGGUUCAAUUACCAGCUUACUGUGAAGUUUAUUCUCCCGGGACGCAAACGGACUAUUCCGGACAAGGCUUGCAGGUCAUUCGACAAUCACACAUCCAGCCGUUGCCGUGGAGGAAGAGGUUCUCCAGGUGGCCGCAGCCUGAGAAAAUCUCUUCAGGCAAGCUGGGUGAUGAACGUGUCCGGGUGGAGCUGCUGCAGACGGUUGCCUUCCAGAUUGACCAACUGCAGACGGGUGAGGCCGUAGAACGCCUCGGGGCUAAUGAACUCAAUGUGGUUGUGGUCCAUGUGGAGUCUCUGCAGACUUUCAAGGCCUUCGAAUGUCUGUUUGUUGAGUUCCUUUACUUUAUUAUAGGACACCUUCAGGGCCUUGGAGGACAGAACAGAUCAUUUAGACUCAAAAGGUGAGUUAAACUUAGUAAUAUGAUUCACCUGUAGCGAUCUGAGGUCCUGGAAUGUUCUGUCUUCAAUACUGUGGAUAAGGUUGCUAUGCAGCAUCAGUAUUUCUAAUCUAUCCAGUCCUGAAAAAGAUGUCUCUCGUAA